rnacentral:rRNA from 1 species
AGAGUUUGAUCAUGGCUCAGGAUGAACGCUGGCGGCGUGCUUAACACAUGCAAGUCAUGGGGGCCCAGCAAUGGGCAACCGGCGAACGGGUGCGUAACACGUGAGCAACCUACCCAGGUGUGGGGGAUAGCCGUCCCAACGGACGGGUAAUACCGCAUACGCUCAACACGAGGCAUUUCGAGUUGAGGAAACCUUCGGGGCACCAUGAGGGGCUCGCGGCCUAUCAGCUAGUUGGUGAGGUAACGGCUCACCAAGGCUACGACGGGUAGCUGGUCUGAGAGGAUGGCCAGCCACAUUGGGACUGAGAAACGGCCCAGACUCCUACGGGAGGCAGCAGUGGGGAAUCUUGCGCAAUGGCCUAACGGCUGACGCAGCGACGCCGCGUGAGGGAUGACGCUCUUCGGAGUGUAAACCUCUUUUGCCUGGAACGAACUAUCAGCUUCAGCUGAUUUGACGGUACCGGGUGAAUAAGCACCGGCUAACUCCGUGCCAGCAGCCGCGGUAAUACGGGGGGUGCGAGCGUUGUCCGGAAUCACUGGGCGUAAAGGGCGCGUAGGUGGCGUGAUAAGGGUGUGGUGAAAGCCCGGGGCUCAACCCCGGGUCGGCCAUGCCGACUGUCAGGCUCGAGUACUGUAGGGGCAGGCGGAAUUCCGGGUGUAGCGGUGGAAUGCGUAGAGAUCCGGAGGAAGGCCGGUGGCGAAGGCGGCCUGCUGGGCAGUUACUGACACUGAGGCGCGACAGCGUGGGGAGCAAACAGGAUUAGAUACCCUGGUAGUCCACGCCAUAAACGAUGACAACUAGAUGUCGGGAGGGUUAGCCUCUUGGUGUCGCAGCUAACGCGUUAAGUUGUCCGCCUGGGGAGUACGGCCGCAAGGUUGAAACUCAAAUGAAUUGACGGGGACCCGCACAAGCGGUGGAGCAUGUGGUUCAAUUCGAUGCAACGCGAAGAACCUUACCUGGCCUUGACAUGUCCGGAAGAUCCCAGAGAUGGGGUUGUGCCCGAAAGGGAACCGGAACACAGGUGCUGCAUGGCUGUCGUCAGCUCGUGUCGUGAGAUGUUGGGUUAAGUCCCGCAACGAGCGCAACCCUUGUCUUUAGUUGCCAGCACUUCGGGUGGGCACUCUAAAGAGACCGCCGGUGACAAACCGGAGGAAGGUGGGGAUGACGUCAAGUCAUCAUGGCCUUUAUGGCCAGGGCUACACACGUGCUACAAUGGCCGGUACAAAGGGUUGCCAACCCGCAAGGGGGAGCUAAUCCCAUAAAGCCGGUCGUAGUCCGGAUCGGAGUCUGCAACUCGACUCCGUGAAGUUGGAAUCGCUAGUAAUCGCAAAUCAGCACUGUUGCGGUGAAUACGUUCCCGGGUCUUGUACACACCGCCCGUCACACCAUGGGAGUUGAUUGCACCAGAAGCAGGUAGCCUGACCGCAAGGAGGGCGCCUACCACGGUGUGGUCAAUGACUGGGGUGAAGUCGUAACAAGGUAACCGU